rnacentral:rRNA from 1 species
AACGAACGCUGGCGGCAUGCCUAACACAUGCAAGUCGAACGAGACCUUCGGGUCUAGUGGCGCACGGGUGCGUAACGCGUGGGAACCUGCCCUUAUGUUCGGAAUAACUCCCCGAAAGGGGUGCUAAUACCGGAUAAUGUCUUCGGACCAAAGAUUUAUCGCCUUUGGAUGGGCCCGCGUUGGAUUAGCUAGUUGGUAGGGUAAAAGCCUACCAAGGCUACGCUCCAUAGCUGGUCUGAGAGGAUGAUCAGCCACACUGGGACUGAGACACGGCCCAGACUCCUACGGGAGGCAGCAGUGGGGAAUAUUGGAAAAUGGGCGAAAGCCUGAUCCAGCAAUGCCGCGUGAGUGAUGAAGGCCUUAGGGUUGUAAAGCUCUUUUACCCGGGAUGAUAAUGACAGUACCGGGAGAAUAAGCUCCGGCUAACUCCGUG